GACGUAGGAGGCGAGCGUUAUCCGGAUUCACUGGGCGUAAAGCGCAUGUAGGCGGUCGGACAAGUCCUUACUGAAAGCCCCUGGCUCAACUGGGGGAGGCGUGAGGAGACUGUACGACUGGAGGGCAGGAGAGGUCGGUGGAACUCCCGGUGUAGCGGUGGAAUGCGUAGAGAUCGGGAAGAACAUCAGUGGCGAAGGCGGCACUCUGGGCCGGAACUGACGCUGAGGAGCGAAAGCGUGGGUAGCAAACAGG
rnacentral:rRNA from 1 species